CUCCCUGCAGCCAAGUGUGACUCCACGAUCCGACUUUUCACGGUGGAACUGGGCGAGAGACACACGAAAAUCGGGGAGCUCACGGCAGAUGUUGAGUGCUGCAAGAAAAAGCUCCGGGAACAUGAGGAGGAGCUGGAGGCCCGAGACGCCCAAAUCCGUGAGUAUUUCCCGGAUUUUUG